GCACUGUUGAAGAGUCCCAUACUAGGACGAAACGGCCGUUCAAUGC
rnacentral:hammerhead_ribozyme from 1 species